GGCCGCCUGGCGAAAUGGCAUCGCGUCUGACUACGAUUGAACAUUUGGGAUGACCAUGAGGUCACGUGAUCUAAAUCAGGAGAUUGCAGGUUCGACCCCUGCGGUGGUCA